rnacentral:rRNA from 1 species
GACGAACGCUGGCGGCGGGCUUAACACAUGCAAGUCGAACGGAAAGGCCCUGCUUUUGUGGGGUGCUCGAGUGGCGAACGGGUGAGUAACACGUGAGUAACCUGCCCUUGACUUUGGGAUAACUUCAGGAAACUGGGGCUAAUAUCGGAUAGGAGCCCCCGUUGCAUGGUGGGGGUUGGAAAGUUUCGGCGGUUGGGGAUGGACUCGCGGCUUAUCAGCUUGUUGGUGGGGUAGUGGCUUACCAAGGCUUUGACGGGUAGCCGGCUUGUGAGGGUGACCGGGCACCUUAGGCCUGCGAUACGGCCCAGACUCCUACGGGAGGCAGCAGUGGGGAAUAUUGCACAAUGAGCGGAAGCCUGAUGAAGAAGCGCCGCGUGCGGGAUGACGGCCUUCGGGUUGUAAACCGCUUUCGCCUGUGACGAAGCGUGAGUGACGGUAAUGGGUAAAGAAGCACCGGCUAACUACGUG